rnacentral:siRNA from 1 species
UCACAUUGUGGCCGUGUGGGUCA